UAUGAGCAUUAUUUGGCACAGGAAACUCC
rnacentral:sRNA from 1 species